UCGGGAAUAUUGCGCAAUGGAGGAAACUCUGACGCAGUGACGCCGCGUAUGGGAAGAAGGUUUUCGGAUUGUAAACCAUUUUAGACAAGGGAAGAAAAAAGGACAGUACUUGUAGAAUAAGCUCCGGCUAACUACGUGCCAGCAGCCGCGGUAAUACGUAGGGAGCAAGCGUUAUCCGGAUUUAUUGGGUGUAAAGGGUGCGUAGACGGGAAGGUAAGUUAGUUGUGAAAUCCCUCGGCUCAACUGAGGAACUGCGACUAGAACUGCUUUUCUUGAGUACUGGAGAGGAAAGUGGAAUUCCUAGUGUAGCGGUGAAAUGCGUAGAUAUUAGGAGGAACACCAGUGGCGAAGGCGACUUUCUGGACAGUAACUGACGUUGAGGCACGAAAGUGUGGGGAGCAAACAGGAUUAGAUACC
rnacentral:rRNA from 1 species